CUUGCGAGGACGGAGGCUGAGUGGGGACAGACCCCCGCGGUGUGGGGCGCCCGGAGCCUCAGCUAAGCCGCCGCCAGGGAGGGCACCGGACGCCGCUCGCAGAGGCGUCGGGCGGCGCGGGGCCGCGGGCUGCCGCCAGGGGGCGAGCGAGAGCCCCCGGGGCGGGUCCCGGCCGGGAGGGGCGCUCGGGGACCUCGCGGGAGGUCGCCCCCGGCCGCCGGGCCGCCCAGGCCUCUUUUAACCUUGGUCCCUCCCGCGCGCUCGCUCUUCCGCCCCGGCGCGCGACCCGGCUCAGUCCAGUUCAAGAUGCUGAUGAAGUUCAGGGCUGGUGCUUGAAAGACAAUUGGGGUGCUUGAAAGAAGCUUUUCAAGUAGAAAAAGUGUAUUUGAACAUGUAAUUGAUACAUAGAAGCUUUUGCUUUCCUUGUCCCUCUUGUGGUAGUAGCAGGGGUGAAUUUUGUGAUGACAAUUAUCUCUAAAAACCUAUCCCUACCUGCUCCCAUAGAGAAUUUUGUAGAAUAUAGUUUAUUAUUUAAUGUAGUCUUUCUACCAACCAACCAGCCCCAGCCGGAAGCUUGGCAUAGGAACCAGACAAGCUAUUCUACAACUGAAAUCUUAUUCUUUUGAUUUGUCCUGAAGAUAUGUUUCAAAGUAUCCUUUUAAAAAUUUGGUUUUAUAUGCUUACAGAUUUUUCCAUAAUAGAUCAUUUUAAUGAUUAAAUGUGAUCCUUU
rnacentral:lncRNA from 12 species